rnacentral:sRNA from 1 species
CACUGCUGAGCACCAUCAAGUGUGGGCGUCUACAGAGGCUCCUGCCCUCAGAAAUCUCCUGCUGGGGCUCUUCCCACCCUCUCCAGCUCCUUCCGUCUCACCCAGGCUAACUGAUGAUUCAAGGCCACAUGUGGCUCUUGGGAGUGGUGGGACCUUUGGUGACCCAAAGUGAGCAGACUCCCUUCAGAGCAUUCAAUUUCAAAAAGAAAGAGAAGCGCUGGUACCAGACAAACCCCUUCUCCUGCUGAGACCCAUGCAUGCCGCUGCCAGUCACUGUGAGCAGCUCACUGUGAGCCACCCUGGCCCCCUCCCACCUAACAGAUCCACCAGCAAGGAGUGGACUUUCUGACCCCAGGCCCCUGCACACGCCAUUCCCUUGGUUUGUGGGUGAAGAAACUGAGAUCAGAUAUGGAAAACCAGUACCGGGACUCAAA